UACGGGGGGGGCAAGCGUUGUUCGGAAUUACUGGGCGUAAAGGGUUCGUAGGUGGCCAACUAAGUCAGACGUGAAAUCCCUCAGCUUAACUGGGGAACUGCGUCUGAGACUGGAUGGCUUGAGUGCAGGAGAGGAACGCGGAAUUCCAGGUGUAGCGGUGAAAUGCGUAGAUAUCUGGAGGAACACCGGUGGCGAAGGCGGCAUCCUGGACCGACACUGACACUGAGGAGCGAAAGCCAGGGGAGCAAACGGG
rnacentral:rRNA from 1 species